UCAAGUUAUUAAGAGUGCAGGGCGGAUGCCUUGGCACUAGGAGCCGAUGAAGGACGUGAUAAGCUGCGAUAAGCUUCGGGGAGUUGCACGUAAACUUUGAUCCGAAGAUUUCCGAAUGAGGAAACUCACUUAGAGUAAUGUCUAAGUAUCAUUAAGUGAAUACAUAGCUUAAUGAGGGGAACUCAGGGAACUGAAACAUCUAAGUACCUGAAGGAAGAGAAAGAAAUUCGAUUCCGUAAGUAGCGGCGAGCGAACGCGGAUUAGCCCAAACCAAUAAAGUUUUCUUUGUUGGGGUUGCGGACAUAUCAUAACGAAGAGGUAUCGUAAUUGAAGAGGUUUGGAAAGACCCACCACAGAAGGUAAUAGUCCUGUAUGUUAAACGAGAAGACUUUAGAUAUGAUCCAGAGUACCACGGGACACGUGAAACCCUGUGGGAAGCAGGAGGGACCACCCUCCAAGGCUAAAUACUACCUAGUGACCGAUAGCGUAUAGUACCGUGAGGGAAAGGUGAAAAGAACCCCGGGAGGGGAGUGAAAUAGAACCUGAAACCCUGCACUUACAAGCUGUGGAAGCACAUUUCUUGUGUGACCGCGUACUUUUUGUAGAACGGGCCAACGAGUUACGUUAAGUAGCAAGGUUAAACACUUAAGGUGCGGAGCCGUAGCGAAAGCGAGUUUUAACUGAGCGUUCAGUUACUUGACGUAGACCCGAAACCGGGCGACCUACCCAUGAGCAGGAUGAAGCGAAAGUAAAAUUUCGUGGAGGUCCGAACCCACGAGCGUUGAAAAGCUCGGGGAUGACUUGUGGGUAGCGGUGAAAUUCCAAUCGAGCCCGGAGAUAGCUGGUUCUCCCCGAAAUAGCUUUAGGGCUAGCCUCAAGGUGAGAGAUACGGAGGUAGAGCACUGAAUGUCCUAGGGGGUAUUGCACCUACCGAAGACUAUCAAACUCCGAAUGCCGUCAUCUUAUACUUGGGAGUCAGACUGUGGGUGAUAAGAUUCAUAGUCGAAAGGGCAACAGCCCAGAUCGUCAGCUAAGGUCCCUAAAUGUAAGUUAAGUGGUAAAGGAUGUGGGAUUGCACAGACAACCAGGAUGUUGGCUUAGAAGCAGCCACUCAUUCAAAGAGUGCGUAAUAGCUCACUGGUCGAGUGAUCCUGCGCCGAAGAUUUCCGGGGCUAAAACUUACUACCGAAGCUACGGCAUCAGUAAUGAUGGGUAGGGGAGCUUCCCAUACGGGUUGAAGCAUGACCGUAAGGACAUGUGGACAGUAUGGGAGUGAGAAUGUUGGCAUGAGUAGCGAGAUGUGGGUGAGAAUCCCACAGGCCGUAAACCCAAGGUUUCCAGGGGAAGGUUCGUCCGCCCUGGGUUAGUCGGGACCUAAGCUGAGGCCGAAAGGCGUAGGUGAUGGACAACAGGUUGAUAUUCCUGUACUACCGAUAACCGUUUGAGAGAUGGGAUGACACAGUAGGAUAAGCUAAGCACACUGUUGGUUAUGUGUGCCCAAGCAUUGAGGCAGUCAAAGUAGGUAAAUCCGCUUUGAUAAUGCUGGGAUGUGAUGGGGAGCGAAAUUUAGUAGCGAAGUAGCUGAUUUCACACUGUCAAGAAAAGUCUCUAUCGAGGUUAAAGGUACCCGUACCGCAAACCGACACAGGUGGGUGAGGAGAGUAUCCUAAGGCCAGCGAGAGAACUGUUGUUAAGGAACUCGGCAAAAUGACCCCGUAACUUAGGGAUAAGGGGUGCCACCAUCAGGUGGCCGCAGAGAAUAGGCCCAAGCGACUGUUUACCAAAAACAUAGGUUUCUGCUAAGUCGCAAGACGAUGUAUAGGAGCUGACGCCUGCCCGGUGCUGGAAGGUUAAGGGGAUCUGUUAGAGCAAUCGAAGCAGUGAACUUAAGCCCCAGUAAACGGCGGCCGUAACUAUAACGGUCCUAAGGUAGCGAAAUUCCUUGUCGGGUAAGUUCCGACCCGCACGAAAGGCGUAACGAUUUGGGCACUGUCUCAACAACAGACUCGGUGAAAUUGUAAUUCCGGUGAAGAUGCCGGAUACCUGCGACAGGACGGAAAGACCCCAUGGAGCUUUACUGUAGCUUGACAUUGGGUCUUGGUACUACAUGUACAGGAUAGGUGGGAGGCUUUGAAACCAGGACGCCAGUUUUGGCGGAGCCAUCCUUGGGAUACCACCCUUGUAGUACUGGGACUCUAACCAUAGGCCAUGAAUCUGGUCUUGGGACACUGUCAGGUGGGCAGUUUGACUGGGGCGGUCGCCUCCCAAAAGGUAACGGAGGCGCUCAAAGGUUCUCUCAGUACGGUCGGAAAUCGUACGUAGAGUGUAAAGGCAAAAGAGAGCUUGAUUGCAAGACAUACAGGUCGAGCAAGGAUGAAAAUCGGACUUAGUGAUCCGGUGGUUCUGCGUGGAAGGGCCAUCGCUCAACGGAUAAAAGCUACCCUGGGGAUAACAGGCUUAUCUCCCCCAAGAGUCCACAUCGACGGGGAGGUUUGGCACCUCGAUGUCGGCUCAUCACAUCCUGGGGCUGUAGUAGGUCCCAAGGGUUGGGCUGUUCGCCCAUUAAAGUGGUACGCGAGCUGGGUUCAGAACGUCGUGAGACAGUUCGGUCCCUAUCCGUCGCAGGCGUAGGAAAUUUGAGAAGACCUGUCCUUAGUACGAGAGGACCGGGAUGGACGUACCUCUGGUGUACCAGUUGUCCUGCCAAGGGCAUGGCUGGGUAGCUAUGUGCGGAAUGGAUAAGCGCUGAAAGCAUCUAAGCGCGAAGCCAACUUCAAGAUAAGAUUUCCCACCGCAAGGGUAAGACCCCAGAAAGACUAUCUGGUUGAUAGGUCGAAGGUGUAAGUGCAGCAAUGUAUUUAGCUUAUCGAUACUAAUAGGUCGAGGACUUGACCAA
rnacentral:rRNA from 1 species